UUCCGUCAGUAGUAGUUGUUCUCUCUCUAGUCUUCCUUCUCUUAUCUUCCUCUGUUUUUGUUUAUCCUCCGUCUUCCCUCCUUCCGUCAAUUAGAUUGAUUAUUUUUUCUACAUUCUAACGAAUGUCGAUGUAUCUUAAGUUCUUUGCUGCCAUGGAAGUCCAUGGGUUCUUCUUCUUUCCCUUUUCCAUUCUUUCUCUGUCUCCGCCAUUUUGUUUUCUCUCUC
rnacentral:lncRNA from 1 species